rnacentral:rRNA from 1 species
AACGAACGCUGGCGGCAUGCCUAACACAUGCAAGUCGAACGAUGCCUCCGGGCAUUUUGGCGCACGUGUGCUUAACGCGUGGGAAUCUGCCCGUGGGUUCGGAAUAACUCGCCGAAAGGCGAGCUAAUACCGGAGGAGGACGUACGGCCAAGGAUUUAUCGCUCCAGGAUGAGCGCGCGUAGGAUUAGCUAGUUGGUGGGGUAAAGGCACACCAAGGCGACGAUCCUUAGCUGGUCUGAGAGUAUGAUCAGCCACACUGGGAAUGAGACACGGCCCAGACUCGUACGGGAGGGAGCAGUGGGGAAUAUUGGACAAUGGGCGAAAGCCUGAUCAAGCCAUGCCGCGGGAGUGAUGAAGGGCUUAGGGUUGUAAAGCUCUUUUACCCGGGAUGAUAAUGACAGUACCGGGAGAAUAAGCACCGGCUAACUCCGUG